AGAGUUUGAUCCUGGCUCAGGACGAACGCUGGCGGCGUGCCUAAUACAUGCAAGUCGAGCGGACUUAUCCUUCGGGAUGAGUUAGCGGCGGACGGGUGAGUAACACGUAGGUAACCUGCCUAUAAGACCGGGAUAACUAUCGGAAACGAUAGCUAAGACCGGAUAACUGGUUUUCUCGCAUGAGAGAAUUAUGAAACACGGAGCAAUCUGUGGCUUAUAGAUGGGCCUGCGGCGCAUUAGCUAGUUGGUAGGGUAACGGCCUACCAAGGCGACGAUGCGUAGCCGACCUGAGAGGGUGAACGGCCACACUGGGACUGAGACACGGCCCAGACUCCUACGGGAGGCAGCAGUAGGGAAUCUUCCGCAAUGGACGCAAGUCUGACGGAGCAACGCCGCGUGAGUGAUGAAGGUUUUCGGAUCGUAAAGCUCUGUUGCCCUAGACGAAUAGCAAGAGGAGUAACUGCCUUUUGUGUGACGGAUAGAGAAAA
rnacentral:rRNA from 1 species